GACACCCGGCAAGGGAACGUGGAAUGCGGAAUCAAGUACGUGUCACACAACCCGCAAACAGGGUAAGGACGACAAGCUAGAUCAACAAGAAGCGGAAAGCACCGGAGGUAUAGGGAAGCGAUGAGAACGCUGUCAGGAUGGCACACCCACCAUCAUCUACCUUUUCUUCACUUGAACUUGCAAAAGAGGUGCCCUCAACUAAGUUGCUCGCCCCAAUUUUCCUCUUGCGCCAAGAGAGGUUCCUUGACCGACGCGGGGUUGCCUGCAAUCAAUAACCUCUUGUAAGGUUGGCUUCGUAACAGAAUCCCCUUAAUUUACAUUGUUUACAUUGACAUUGCAUGUACCCUCACUUCCAUUCGUAGGUUCAAGAUCAUCGUUCUCCUUAUACAUCAGGUUGGGUCAUGCCCAAUUUUUCAUCCAUGGACACCUUGGCCUCUAUUGCCUAGUUACCUCUUCCACAGGUAGUGCUACCACGAGGUUGGAACCGUCAUAAAAUCGCCAUUCCCCAAGAACCUCAAAAGGAGCUUCUCCAGUUUGACCUUGAUGUGCACUCAAACAAACUUUCAUAUUCAAGGUCAUUUAGUCCAAGCUCCACAUGUAACACUUCUCGUGUCCUGGAAGUCAUUGCUCUAGACACUGAUCUGUUACGCAACAAGUCCAGUCAACCCAGGAUUGGAGCCCAAACACGUAUGGAGUUAAGGGCGACAUAUUCCACUAUAUUCCUCAAUUACCACAACAUGGUGCCUAAAGAGCCAAGCACCCUCAUGCAUGGUUGUGAUUCCAAUCCCCAAAAACACAUAAACUCCAUUAUAAAAGGGUAGUCAUCAACCGGGUUUCUCUUGCAUACCCUACACUAACCCCAUCUCGCACGUGUGUCAUCUGUUGGUGCUUGAUGCUCAUCCACCUAAAACGCUGGUCCCCAAAGUGCCUUCUACAGGAUGUGGUGGUGGGUCCAUAGUGACGCCACCCACGACCUCUAUUAGCGGUGAUGGUCGCCUAACACAGACUCCCCUCAUGUCUUUCAUCUGUAGUGUUGGUGCACAUCGCUCCACCGACUACGUCGCACAUGCGUCUUCCCUUCCGCUUGGUCUUCUGUGCUCAAAAAACCUUAUCUCCAGCACCAACUUCUACAACCAGUAUUGGUCGUGCUACACCUCCUCUAGCAGAUUACACUAGUGGUGGUCGCCACUCCUCUUCCGGUGAUUCAACGUCGACCAAUUCAACGGUGUUCUUCACAGUGCAUGAGAUUGCAAGACUGCGACACUUGCCUAUAGUUGAAACCCUCACUACACUAGAGAUUACAAGACUUGAGUAUCUUCUAGAUGCUUCUUUUGUUUCACAACAGUUUUGUUGUUAGUAAUUUUUCACGAAUCCUUGGUAGUGUAGCAUCUUAUGACUCAUGAUUCUUCUAGCUUGUCCUCCAUUCAAACUUCUAGAUUCUCAUAUUCAUGUUAUUAUUGCUGAUGGUACUUCCUUCCCAAAGCACAUAAAGGCACAUCAUGAAAGCACAACGCAAUGCAAAAUGCUAAAAAAUAACUAGAUACCAUUUAAGUAAAACCUGGGCCAGCUUGACUAGAGAGAGGCAAGCACCACAUGGUCCGCUCCACAAGAGAAGAUGCACGAAACCAGCUUGACUAGAGAGAGGCAAGCACAACAUUUGGUUUUACUUAAAUGGUACUCCCUCCGUCCGGAAUUACUUGUAGCACAAAUGUAUAAAAAUGGAUGUAUCUAGAACUAAAAUACAUCUAGAUACCUCCAUUCCUAUGACAAGUAUUUUCGGACGGAGGGAGUAUUCAGUUAUGUUUUAGCAUUUUGCAGCCUAUAUGAACAUAAAACAAAUUUCCAAAGAACGUGAAAUGUAUUAGUCGAACAAAUGGAAAAUCAUUGUCAAACAUGCGAAUAUCAUAUAAGGUACUCACCCUCUUGAGCGUGUUUUUGGUCGAUGUCGCCAGUACUCACCCCUUUGUUUGUUUGGAUGCAUUUGCUACAUUCUUCUUGCCCUCUAUGAACACACCAAACUAACUGUUCAAUAUGUUGUUUGUCUUCUUAGGUUAAUGUGAUGAGCACAAGGGGUAUCAGGAUUGGGAUCAUGUUAGUCGUCACAUGCGCAUUUCUUGGCCCGGGACUUUGGCGAGUCUCAUCCAAUCAAUUCACAUCCAUCCUCUCCUUUAGCCUUCCCCAUUCAGGAUAUUUGUUUCCUCACUUUUCCUCAUACACCUAUCAGUCAUGUAUUGUCCUCGUCCAUCCAUCCACCGUGUCUUCUUGUACUACUAUUGUAGACCCUAUGUUGUCUUCACCUGCGGCUUCCCCACCUCACUCGUUACCUGAGGCACCUAAGUUGGGUUGUCCCUUGAGGCUUCUGUCGUGAUUCCCCCUCGUCCUUUCUUUACCACAUUGGUUGUCCGUGUGUUGUGGAUUCUUCUAAUGCACCAUCUCGAUAAACUACCAUGCCUCCUUCUGUUGGCAACACGUCACUCCGGCUCAACCUACUAAUGAAUUUCGCCUGCCUGCAUCGACCUAUUGACCGCUAUGGUUAUUCUAGCGAGGCUCUUCUCGAGACGACUUCUUACCCAAACAUUGUUGUUCAUCCUGAACGACAUGUGAUGGCAGAGGUGAGUGUUGCGCGUGAGUGCACCGUGACAUGGGAUCUCAUUUCCCUUCUUCCACAUGCUUGUCCUGCCACUUGUAAGUGUGUCUACAAGGUUUAGACUGAUGGUUCUCUCAAGCGCGUUACAAAGCUCAUCUUGUGUCACAUGGCUUUCAACAUGAAUAUGGUCAUGAUAACGAUGAGACAUUUGCUCAUGUGGCCACAUGACCACUCUUGCACACUUCUCAUUGUGACUUCUAUUCACCUUGUGUCUAUCUCUCAGCUUGAUGACAAAAUUGCCUUUCUUAAUGGUGAGUUGCAUGAGGAGAUCUACAUGUAGCCACCACCUUGGUAUUCCGAUCCUAACAAAAUAGCAUGUUAUCUUCGUCGCUCUCUAUAUGAGCUUAAGCCAACCCCUCAUGCAUGGUUCGAGAGGUUCGUCAUAGUAGUCAAUGUGGCUAGUUUUCUGGCAAAUGCUAAUGAUCUUGUACUUUAUGUCCACCUUUUAGCUCAUUAUCAGAACUCUUAUGUAUGUCAAUGACAUGGUCAUCAUUGGAAAUGACCCUGAGUACAUUGCCUUUGUGAAUGCUCGUCCUAGCGAGUUGUUUCUUAUGUUUGAUCUUGAUCCUCUUCUCUACUUCCUUGGGAUUGAGGUUUCCUCUACUUCUAAUGGCUUCCUUAUUUCCCAAGAGAUGUAUCUCCAGGAUCUUGCUCGCAUUGCUUUUAUUGACAAGCGCAAUGUUAAGACACCUAUGGAACUCAACAUCCACCUUUGUGCUCCCGAAGAUCUACCUUUGUCUGUUUUUAACAUGCUAUCGUCAUCCUGUUAGGAGCCUUUCCUAUUUGGAUGUCACCCAUCCAGACAUUUCAUAUCUCAUUCAUAGUCUCAAUCAGUUCGUCUCUACUCCCACUUCGAUCCACUACACUCACCACAUCUGUGUUCUACAAUAUCUUCGUGGGACUCUCUCGUCAUCUCUUCUUCCCACACUCAAGUUGAUCGAUCCCUUUAUGCUUAUUGUGUUUUUCUUGGUGGUUCUAUCAUUGCUUGGAUCUACGUGGGACUCUCUCGAUGUCUAUUCUUCCCAUGCUCAAGUUCGUUGAUCCCUUUCUGAUUACUAUGCUUUUCUUGGUGGUUUCUCGUUGCCUGGAAGACGAAGAAACAGGUUGCACUUUCUUCUUUGAGUGUAGAGACUGAGUUGCGAGCUACACCUAUUUUGACAGUAGAGGUGACUUGCCUACCAUGUCUGCUUAAGGGUUUUGGUGUUUCUCACUACACCUACUACUGUCUUAUCAAAUAGUACAAGUAAAAUCCAUAUUGCGCGUGACCAUGUAUAGUAUGAGCUCACCAAGCAUAUUGGUGUUGAUGCUUCCUUCAUGUGCUCCAGUGUGUAAGAUCAAAUUAUAACUCUUCACUAUGUGCCUUCCGAUUUAUAGUUGGCCAAUUUCUUAACGUAGGCCAACAGUACAGCACAACAUGGUUUCUAUCUCUCCAAGUUCAGUGUUGUUGAUCCACCAUCAGCUUCAGAAUUUUGGUGUUUCUAUCCCUCAAAAAGAGAUUGAUCCAGUUUAUAAGGGAAUAUGGAUCAAAGACCAAACAAAGCAAGCCAAUUUACAAGGAAAAUUUGGCUGAAAAUCGCACAAGCAACAUAGCCUCAUCAACAGCACGACACAUGCGAAUAUUGCACUAAACACACACCCAGAUCUAGUAUUGCCACUCCAAUAUAUUCGACUAACACAAGAGCCACAUAGCAGAGUGCCCACCAACUAGGCAAGAUAGUUAUGGCACCUCACUCCACAACAGCCACGUCAUGAACCCCGGAUAGUAUAUUCACAUGUAGACACCGAAUCUACCCGUAACCAUCCACUGUCAUGGAUAAUGUACAAACAUAGGAUGGUGGACCAUCCCUAUCUUCCGUCCUCCUUGCUUCCCCUGGCCACUCGGCUUUGGGUCCAACAAGGCCGACGAUGGAGGCAGCCGACUCAAGACAGUUUUUUUGUACCUUCCCAUGCACCUCCAAUGUACACUCCACUGCAUGCUAGUCCAAUUGGGCAUCCUUUUCCUGGCUACGAGUUGUUUUGUGCGCUGCCUUGUUCCUACAUCACAUGCUCCCAUACAGGUUGUCGCCAUAGCCACUAGCUCGGGCACCACCAACGGUGGAGCAAGAGCACGGGCAGUUGGCACCGCCACCGUCUUACCCAAGGACGCAGAGCGACCAGGAGCACGUCGCUACCUGUCGCCAAGGCCAGGGACGCCCAGCAAGGGAACAUGGAAUGCGGAAUCAAGUACGUGUCACACAACCCGCAAACAGGGUAAGGACGACAAACUAGAUCAACGAGAAGCGGAGCGCACCGAAGGUAUAAGGAACCGAUAAAAACACUGUGAGGAUGGCACACCCACCAUCAUCUACCUUUUCUUCGCUCGAACUUGCAAAAGAGGUGCCCUCGGCUAAGUUGCUCGUCCUAGUUUUUCCCUCAUGGUAUUCUGUAGGAUAUGUCGAUUUCUUUCCACCGGCGCCAAGGGAGGUUCCUUGACCGAUGCAGGGUUGCCUGCAAUCAAUAACCUCUUGCAAGGUUGGCUUCGUAACAGAAUCCCCUUAAGUGACAUUGUUUACAUUGACAUUGCAUGUACCCGUACUUCCAUUCGUAGGUUCAAGAUCAUCGUUCUCCUUAUAAAUCGGGUCGGGUCAUGCCCAAUUU
rnacentral:lncRNA from 1 species